rnacentral:sRNA from 1 species
AGAUACACUUGAAAUUCUACAUCUACAAAGUCUAAAUCUCCUUAUUUUUGGGUUGGUUACUUGCUUUUGUGUUCUUCAAGUGCAACUCCACUUCUGGCCGUUCCAUCCAUGGCAGAGGCAGGAUCUUUUCGUUCCUUCACCGCCUCAGAUCUAGUUUACUCACCAUUGAAGAUCUAGAUCUCCUUCCCUUCUUCUUGAGACGUUUUCCUUCAGGUCUCGGGAUGCUGAUUUGGUCUCACCGCCGUUCGUGGUAAGGAGAAUCUUGGUUUUGAUUCCUUUUGUGAGGGUUCCUAGUAUCAGAUCUGUUGAUUCUAUCUUUGUUUUAGAUUUUGUAUUUUUAAUUUUAAUUAUCAGGAUUAUAAAUCCGGGAAGUAUUUGUUAAGAUAUGAUGUAUUUGUAGUUUGGGUUUCCUUUCCCUUUAGUUUGCUCUUGUCUCCGGGAGUUUUUAAUUACUCGCCGGCUUUAGUCUCUGGAAAAAUUGUUUCCUUGCCGGCUUAUGUAAUCAUCAGACUCUAAAUUAUAUCAGUGAAAUCCUUAUUGUAGUGAGAAAAAAAAAGCAAGGGUUUAUGGAUAGAGAAAGAGGUGGUUGAGUCAUUGCACUAUUAGGAUAGAGUUUAGAGAUUUUAUGUUUAAGUUUGUAGUCAAAGUUUCUUUAUUUUGGAGACUAUAGUCUUA